rnacentral:rRNA from 1 species
UACAGAGGUCUCAAGCGUUGUUCGGAAUUACUGGGCGUAAAGCGCGUGUAGGCGGCUUGGCAAGUCGGGUGUGAAAGCCCUGGGCUCAACCUAGGAAGUGCACUCGAAACUGCCUCGCUUGAAUGCCGGAGAGGAAAGCGGAAUUCUCGGUGUAGAGGUGAAAUUCGUAGAUAUCGAGAGGAACACCGGUGGCGAAGGCGGCUUUCUGGACGGUGAUUGACGCUGAGACGCGAAAGCGUGGGGAGCAAACAGG